rnacentral:lncRNA from 1 species
UUCAUUUCUUUCCACUUCUCCGUAUAUGUAUCUGUGAAAAAUAUAAAGUUAAUAUGUAAACAGAAUAUCUGCAUUAGUUAGGUUCCAAGCGCACCAAAUUAGGUAAUUUGGUGGAGAAUUUAGUAAAGGUAUUACUUACAAAAUUGUGGACAGGGGUUAAGAGGCAUCAUGCAGGAUCCUAAGGCAAGCAAAAGCCAGAAAUGAUUACCACCUGGGGCCUGAGACUGUGAAGGGAAGCUACGUGGAGAGGAAGCUUUGAUUUGGGCAGAGGAAUGCAAUCAAUCCCUGUAAGCUGGUGAGAGAGAGCUGAGGGAGUAAGUGCUCUCUAAUGUCACCAUGUCCUUGACUUUGGGAGUCCUGCUAACAAUGUCCCCAUUGUCCAGCAACUAGAAGAUGGAGGGUUGGUCCCUUCAGGUCCCAUCAAGGUCCCAGUGCAUACACAGCACAAGCAUAUCACUUUAAGAAGAGCUGGAACCAGGUACUUCAAUCAUGACUAUCAUAUUUUGUCCUGGAUUUGCUUUUUUCCUGGGAUCCUUUUAGCAUCAAGCAAGGUAAUACACCUCAUCUCACUUUAUUAAUCUCUGCAUCCUCCAAAACAUUGCACAGUGCUUGACAUUUACUGGACAUUCAGCA